CACGGUCACCUUUUGUGUCCAACUCUGCUCUGAGGUCAGGCAGACCAGAUGACAGCUCCCUACAUCAGCGCUGGCACAUGGUCAGGAUCAGUCUGCUUUAGUGGCGUGCUCUUUGGGUCAUAUUACAGCACACCAUAAUUUUGCAGUAACCACUGUUAAGGAGUACCAUGCCACUUACCUCUACGGGCAGCAAUGCAGAGCUCUGGCACAUCGUGGCUUUUGAAAAAAGUGGAUAUUCAUGAAGUGUUUGAGAAGAACCAUAAAUCCAUGCUUCAUGAAGAAUCUCUUACGGGGGCUCUCUCAUGUUAUGAGACAGACAAGGACAAAGCUGGACCACUGGCUGUUUUGAAGCCAUGUGUGUACUGUGACAGGCUAUACAACAGGUGGUUACUCAUGCCACAUUUUGAUGCUGACAUCAGCAAGCUGUCAAAGCUAUCAAGGGCACUGGAACUGAUUGAUAACAGCAGAACCUCAUUUCUAUACCAGAAUGUCUCUGCUUUACUGUCUACAGCAGGAGGAAAAGAAUCAGCACCACUACCUCACUGGCCACCCUGAUGGGGAAGACUCAUCUGACCUCUCUUCACUUCUCUUUCAUUUCUUCCUGCCGUAACAAACCCUUGCCACCAAAAUGUAGCUGGAGAGGUGGAUCAGAAGCGGCUGCGAGGGAAAGAGCAGUUUAGGAACACUGGGUGCUGUAAGUGAAAGCAAAAGCUCCCAAAGGAACCCACCUUUGAACUUCCAAUCAUACACAAGGGCUUAUGCCUUGGCAUUUGACUUUUUGAAUUGCGAGGAGGAUGACAAAGAAACCUGCAGUGAAAAUCAGUCUGCACACCUCAAGUUGUUCAGCUCUUGACUGUAGGAAGAAGAAUGUGGCAAAGUUUUAAAUCUUGUGAUCAGAUUUAUCUGAGCAGCGACGGGGCUCACCCAGAGGGUGGUGUUGAAUUGAGCUCUGCACCCACUGCCACUGAGCUCCCUGCCAUGGCUUCCCUGGCACCUUGGGGUCUGAGGACAGCAGUGCUGCUGCUGCCAGGCUCACAGCAGAGAUAUUUGCUUCCAGCUGAGGACCUGAAAAGCAGUAACACAUGAAAUCAGUCUGCUGUUUCCUUUAUGAUUUUCCUAUUGUUACCAUCAUUGAAAGAGAAUGGGCUAGUACCCCUGGACAAAAAAAUGCUGCAAAAUCAAAACCUGGUAGGUUUGCUCUAUUGGAAAACUUUUGGCAGACUGUCAAAUAUAUCACUAGAAACUGUGCUUUCUUCAUGCUAGCCAGUAAGAGAUCAAUAACAGUCCUAAUCAUUGAAGUACAGAGAGAUCAUAAGAGAGCAGUAAAAGAAGAGAAAUUGUGAGUUUGAUCUAUCAUUCCUGUUGAUUCUGGAUGGUUUCUGCUAGUAAUUUCAUAACGCAUCAUGAAUUUCCAUAAGGCAGAAGGCCCAGUGUAUGCAGAAAGAACUUGUGGAAUUUUUGCCCAUAGGGUCGAAUGCUUAAUAAAGGGAAAUCUUUUAAUCUGUGGAAAUGCAGGCUGAGAUUGCAGUAGGGGGCAAUCAGCCCUCUGGACUCAGGUCUGACAGUUGUCUGGAACACCCCAGUGCAACGCAGAUAACCAUAACCUCCAUAUCUUCUCUGUCUGAGCAGUCAGGCCCCAUGGCUGCCCCAGCAGCUUUUUUAGCUGUGGUGAGGAACUCUUCAGUUUCAGUUAAAUGACUCUAGGCCUCUGCCAUUGUGAAACCAGGUACAGCUCCUUGAGAUGACAGUUCAGAAGCUAUCUGUGCUUAACACCAGGAGUAUGCUGAGUCUGCAAGAGCCUAGCAUGAUUUACAGACAGAAGUGACAGAAGAUGGGCUGAAUUAUGUAGGAAUAGACUCACAUAGCUGCAUCUCCAUAUUUGCAUCAGCAUGCUGUGAUGCACAGGAGAGCCACUGAUUUCUCCCGGACACCAGCACUGCAGGGACAGGACACAGUCUGGGAGAACAAAGGGCUCCUAUUCCCUCCUAGCAGCCUCCUCCACCCUUCUGUGCUCAGCAUGAAGUUGAAAAGGAGACUCUCCAGUGCUUCUCUGCUGGGAGAACACUUGUCAGAAGAUGAAGCCCAGGGCUGAGGAGGAAGCAGAGAGGAAAGAAGCUUCCAGACAUCAAUUAUAAAACAAUCCCAAAGAGCAGACUUUAAACAGAUCAGCUCAGAGCAUAGGAAACUAUUUAUGAACCUAUCAUGUUCUGUUUUUCAGUAGACUGAGGACAGAAUAUACAGUACAUGGUCAGGUUACUCCACCAACACGUGUAUACAUACCACUUGCCGGGAGGAAAGGUGACGUGCCAAGCAGCAGUUUACUGAGCUAAGAUUAGAUGCUCAGGUUUUAGAAGGGGAGGAAAAGUCACAUUACGAUAUUUUUGAAAAAAGAACGUAGGAAAAAUUUUACAGAAUUAGGAGGAAAAGCCCAUACAUUUUUAACAAAAUAUUUUGUGUUGGAUUUCAGCUUCAGGGAAUGUACAGGAACUAUGGAAAGAAGUCCAUCCAGCACUUGACUGAUUACUUAGAAGAAUUAUUACAGAAUUUCUACAUAGUCCUAUGUCUUAUCUCAGGGACUGUGCUAUACUUCCAUUCAAUCAGAGACACACAGUUAUCAUACAUCCGGUCUGAUCAAAGCUGCAGUCUGUGGCAUGAUUGAUAUGCAUCUGAACCAGCUUUGGAAGGAAAGUGCAAAGUCCAAAAGCUGUAGGAGCAAUAAAUGAGACAUCACACUAUCAGAAGAUGACAAUUCUUAUUUCGCUUGUUAUUCUUUCCUCAUUUUAUUCCUUGUGAAUUCAAGAAAUUACAUAUACCCCUGGUUAUAUUGGCUGCAGACAUACCACCUGCUUGAUACGAACUCUGAGAGCAAUGCAAUGAGCCCAGCAGCAUAUGUGAUGUCUAGAGAGGAUGACAUCCAUUGCACAAAGCUGCUGGUUACUGUUUCUUGUAUGCAAGGGUACAAUUAGUUGAUAUAAUUUUGAUUAUGUAAUGUUUGAUAUUUUAUAUCCUGUUUCCAUCGUUUUGGUGGGUGGAAUUUCUAGGCUGAAGUUACCUUAGCCUGGUUGAAUGAAUCUCUCUCAUUAAAAGAGGCUGUUUUUAUCACUUGCCUGCGUUAUCUAAAACGGCGAUACCUCAAGCAGGUGGAUGCACUGUUUGCCACAAGACAGAGCUCCCGACUUAUAGAUUCUAUUUAUGAAUCAUGAUAGAUCUCAGUGUAAACAUUUGUACAAAUUUUCCAAGUAAUAAAGCUAAAACUAAAAAAUGGAAGAUAGUGGAGAUAGAACGCUCCUUUCCCAGCCUCAUGCAGAUAACUAAGAUGGAGAAGUGCAAGCUCCUGUAAUAGCAGACAUGGAAAUAAAGCCACUUUCCUAAGUGUGCCAAUUUCCCAUUUCCUUCACAACCUGUGGUCACCUGAAUCCAUGCUGAGUAUGGACUCUGCAGGCUGUGUUUCCACCAAAAGUGAGGACACCCUCCCUUGGCUAAGUGCUGCAGCUGCUUCACCUUCAUCAGCUCUGCUCCUGUCUUGCAGGUGUGGGGAGACUGGGAUCAACACUGAUACAACAAAAUCUUUAUUUUUCAAGGUUUGUUUUCAGCCUGGAAUUAGAGCUUACCCACUGCACACAAGGAGGCAGUGGGAGCAUGUAGCUGAGUGGGGAUAAAGAUAAGGUUGCUACUUUGGCAGCACUGUAGUCUCAGAGAGGAUCCUGCAGUGUGCAGAGUGCUCCCUGAGAGGAUAUGUUAAGACUGUCUGGACAGCACUCCUGAGCUUUAGUCAAAACAAGAUUUUAGGAGCUGCACACUUUAUUUUCAUCAUGUUGUAGCACUUGAGUUAUGUAACUCAUUUGCUACAUUGCCACAUAUAUCUAUCUCCUGGAAAGUACUGCUGACUGAGGAAAGAGACCAUCACUCUGAGAGGUGAGGAAAUGAAAACCUGACGUGUUUCCUAAAAUACUGAUGGUUUCAUUCUCAGCUUCUGCCCUGGACCUAUCCAAAAUUUUGUACAAAUUAAUCACUAAACAAUGCUUUAGUUAUUGAUUAUUAUUUUAUACUCUCUUGUAGCCUGUAGCUCCCUUUGACACCCAGGCAGAGCUUACCUGCUCCUUUCAUGACAAAUAUGAAUUGCACACGGGUUUGUUAGUACUUGUUGAUUGAUAGGGUAUUUUUACUAAUAGCCACAAAUCUUAAUUUAGCAACUUUUCAUGGGAGGAAGAAAAACUCCUCUUGUUUUAUUUCUUGAAGGGAUAAAUUUUGGAACCUGCCCACACACAGGUGGAAGGGCCUUUCUAUGGGAGCUGUGAGGAGAAAACAACCCUUUUCUAUGUUGCAAAUGCAACCUCAGGCCUGUGUUAACUUUCAUACCUGAUCUAUUGCCACACCACAGAGCUGGUGAGGGAAUGAUGAGCAGAUCUGGGCUGCCCUGCUCUCCCUGUAAGAAGGAAUAAAACCAGCCAGAGCAUGCUCCUGCACUGUACUGCCAAAGCAGAUCAUGUAAAAUCUCCUACACUCCAGACUCUGCUGCACCCAUGUUCCCUUUUAUACAGACAUUUUCUGAUAAAUGAAGCAACAGAUGUUUAUGCACUGUCAAACAUUAAAGAAGACAGAAGAAUUAGGUAUUCUGCUUGAAAAAAAUAUUUUGUUUGAGGAUUAUUACAGAUUAUUAAGAGAUCAAUGCAAACAGGAAAUGAUUCAUACCAUUCAUACCAGUACUUUGGAAUCUCCUGCCACUUAAAGGAGUGAACAUACUGUGUCUCAUCAGCUCCGGUUAUGAUGGAGGUGAUUUAAACCCUUAUUAUCUUAAUAAAACAACUGCGAAUGCAAAAUAUGAAAGGAUAAAAUAUAUACAAGAUCUGCAAAAGUGCUUCCAAAGCUCAGCACGUUUCAAGGACCUGAGGGGGAAAGCUCAAAUGACAAAUGGAAACCAAAGGCUUUUAAGUCCUUACCAAAUGCUAAAUAUCAAUUUGUAAUUGAGAUACUUUGGGAAAAAAACACUUGACACAGUGGAUGGUGCAUGAUGGAACAAAAGAUCUCGAAGGCAGAAUACAAGGCCCUGGGGACUCCAGUAGUAUAUCCAAAGACUAAAUGACAGAUCUGAAAACUGUAACUUCAUUCAGGCUACCAGAUGCACUACAGAGAGUCGAGCAGAUGACACCAGAGGAUCAAGGGGAAGUAUUACGGUGAUGCAGAAAACCCAGUGGAAAAGUAAUCUUUUCAAACCCAAGGGGAGCAAAAAAAAACUAUACGUAUUGUAUAACAGAGGAGGAUUAGGUGAAAGACAAGGAGUAGUCCUCUCAUGCCAGGAAAAUUCAGUCAUCUAAUUCAAACUCCUGAUCCAGAAGAAAAUAUUUUGGUUUGUUUGCAAGUGUUUUGGAUGACAGAAGAUUAUACUUGAUGUUGCCAUCCAGGACCUUAAGUCUGAUCACUGUUUGGAGACAGAUAUCAUCAAGAAAAGCUCAGUUUGCUGUGGGGAAAAUUCUUGCCUGCUUAAGUAGUGCUAGUUUUACCUUUCAGACAUUUUAGAAGUUUUGUGAUUUUGCAGAAAUGAAUACACUGUUCUAAUGAAAGUCUGAAGGCAUGUGUGCAGUGGAAACAGAAAUAAUUGGAAAUUGGUACAUCAGCUUGGUAUUAAAGAUGCUUGCUCAUGUACUGGCACUGUUUUGUAUAAAGUGAGAGUGAGUAAAACACAGGAAAAGGUUGUCUAGAGAGGCGGUGGAGUCCUCACUUGUUGAUAUCGACUGGUCCUGGGCAACCUGCUCUGGAAGUUCCUGCUUCAGCAAGGGAUGGACCAAUCUCUAAAGGCCUCGUCCAACUUCAGUAAUUAUGUAAUUCUGUAGAAAGUUGGAACCUCAUUCAAAUGAGGAAAGUACAAGUGAAUACUACAGCAAGUAUAUACAGAAGCAGAAUAAUAUGAAACAUUAAAAAUCUGACAGGAGGGAGUAGGAAGAUGGAGCCAGACUCUUGUCAUCAUUGCCUAAUGACAGGACAAGUGGCAAUAGACAUGAUUUAUAAUAGAAGCUUCCCCACUUCAUGAUUCUGUUUUAAAAAUAUCCUAAAAUAUCAGCUCAUAUCUUGGUGGUCACCAGUGAAAUAAACUGACCAUUAGAAAAUAUGAGAAAAUAUUGAUAGAAUAAAACAAAAACCAUUCCUCACUGACAUUCAUAUUUUGUGUACUUUGUACACUUCUAGUCUUCUCAUCUGAAAAACAAGAUAUAGUAGGCAAGUGACUGUACAGCAAAGUGAAAAUAGGAUAACUAAAAUUGCAAUGAUACCCACAUGAGGAGUGAUUAGGUACAUCAGGAUUUUGCUCGCUAUUAAAAAACCCCCACAAAACUAUCAGAGGAUAUGAUAGAAAUCUAUAAAAUCAUGCAUGGUGUGGACUAAGCUGAUAUAUAGUUGCUCGUUUUCUAUUCUGAGAAGAGAAAUCAAAUGAAAGUAGCAGGUGUAGAGUACUAUUAUGUGUAUUAUGUGCUAUUAUGGUUUCAAUACAUAUGGAUGAGAAAUUCAUUUCUGUGAAGAAAAAUACAAUUAUUAUUGAAGAGAACUGUAGGUAUUAUAGAGGAAGAUACUAUCACUAUAGGCUUAGAAAGUCCUGGGUCACAAACUGCUGAAGGAUGCACUAACAUUCUGGGGAAGUACCAUUACAUGGUCUUGCUGAGGACACUACCAUUCCUGGUGACAGAUGGGCUUUGGUUGGAGCCAGUAAAACUGGUUGCCCCCAUUUGAAUUCACCUAUCUGUGUGCAUUUCUUCCAGUGACUGUGACAGCUUUAAUACAGAUCGUUGUUUGACUUACUUGGCAGUCACUCCCUUGAUGCUGUAGCUCUGCUCUUUGCCCACCAGGUCCUCAGAUUUUUCAUGAUUGCUUCAUACAGUGUUGUGCAAAGAGUGAGAUACUGAUGACAGUGGUUACUUAAUCCACCCAGAGACAUUCUGACAGCUAAUCCCAUCAGCACAUAAAACCAAAGGCUAGAUGAGAAAGUAAGCAGGCACUGAGAGGAUCAACAGAUGUGAGUCCCCAGCUCUGGCUGCUGUUGGAGAUGAGGGGAGAGAUAAAUAUCAUGCAGCUGCUUCAUAAAAAUAAGCUGGAUUCUUCCGAAAAGGAGUCGCCAACCACAGUAAUCUCAUUUACAUUGUGGUCUCCAGAGAAGUCCUUCUCAGAGUUCUGAGACUUAUGCAGUACUUUUACUCCUUGCUGCUAUCUGCUGAAUAUGAAAUCAUAAGGAUGUGUCACUAUGUUUAAGGAUGUCAUGCAGAAAAGGAACUUCCCUGAAUCUGACACGUGAUGACAGUUACUCUUACCAACUUUGCAAAUUACUGCAUGAAGAAGAUAAAAAGUUUGAGCAUGUGUACACAUGUUGUUUCUGUUAGGAGUCACUGAUGAGCUUAGUAAUCAGGCUUGUUCCAUUGUGAAUCAUAACUGCUGACUCACUGUCAGGACAAUAUAUACUUUGGGUCAGCCACACAAUCUGGAAAUGGGAUAGAAGAAUGUGUCUUUGCAACAGGAGACCGGUAGAUUGCUGUCAGCAUCUUUCUGAACUGGCUGAGCUUCUCCACUUCUGCUGGACAUUGCGCUGAGUUGGCACAACUGAGAAAAUCCUUAAAAGUACCUAUGAAUUAAGGACUUUGGGAUCUAAAGACGUCCAUCAGUGUACCUAAAAAGCCUAAACAGAACCUGUAAAUUUCAAAGCGUUUUAACUUGUGACAGUAUUGGUGAUUAAAGAGAUAGGAGGAAAGCCAUGCGGCUAAGUAACCACUCUUGGAUCAUGAAAUUCACAGCUCAUGUAAAACCAGACAGUGCUGACAGGGAAAACACAAACCACUGGCUCCCUUUUGAAAUCAGUCCUUGAUCUUUCUGCCAUCUUCUGUGGUAAACACAAUUAAAUUAUCUCCAUGUUUAAGCUACAGAAGCUAAGGCAGAUAGUUCAAGUGAUCUGACCAAAGCCUCUUAGGCACAGAAUUCACAGAUUGAGGCCUUGUUUAUUCCAGGUUGUCUCUCAUGUUACUGACUCAUGUAUGACACACUCGUCUUUGUCGCUAAGGGUAUACUACAGCAGGAAUGAGCUGGAUGGAUGUCCUUCUAGCCCUCGCUUGCCCUCAGUGGCAGUCCAGGGGAACACAGCUGUGCAAAGGUGCCAGGGUCCCCUGAGGACACACAAAAUUCAACAUCCCUGUCAUUACAGAUCUCAGCGCUAAGGAAGGGGCUGUAAGUAACUGCCCAUCUUUUGAGAGAGGCAAUCACAAUUAGUCUCAAUGACCUGUUUUCAUGGUCAAUGAAAUGGCUGAAAACAAAAGGACUACAAUCUCUCUUUUCCUUAAAUUGAGAAUUAAUUGAGACAAGGUGCUUUGGGUUCUCCACUGAGUUGCAAUUUUAUACCAGUGGGAUCUGGACGUUCCAAGACUUGGGGAGCACAACUGCGACAAAAACUGUCCCAAAUGCUUAAUAUAUUGGACAGGUAAUUUCAAUACUGAAAUUACAGGAGAUAUCUUUGUCAAGAUGUUUUCCUUUCUUUGUCACAUCCCUGAAGUAAUCAAAACCUUAGGAGCACUGAUCUCGUACACUCGCUGCAGCUGAGAUGGAGCUUACACUUUUCUGUUUCUCUGAGUCCUGGAUCUGGUCAGGAACUGGGCAGCUUUUAUGAAAGACUAUAAAAGCAUGGAGAGAAGUACUCUGAAGUACAAAUUUCAUCUUUCUUUCACUGUACACCUCCAUAUGUGGGAGGAGCUGACUUGGAACCAGUUAUGCUAGUUUUCUACCAUUUCUCUUAGCAGUUUAUGAGGAAUGAGGCGUGUAAGUAUAAUAAUUUAUAGAUAUUAUAUACAGACAAGUUAAUCUGUUUGGUACUAUUCUGAUAGAAACUAAAAGAGAUCACUGAAAGAAAUCAAGAAUAAAGGGAAUAGGAGACAAAAAUGCAGUCAAAAGCUCUCCAUUGUUCUUCUAGGAAGAAUAAUAAUCAGGCAAGGCUAAUGAUGCUGUUGUGGCUUGGCCCUCCAAAAUCUGAGGCCAGGAUCAAAAGGGAUCACAAAAGACAAUCAGGUGAAAAUUUCCACAACUAUUAAAGAAAAGAUUUGGGUUAGUUGUCAUAACCGAGGACUCCCGACAAGUCCUGAAAAGCAUGCAGGAAGUCAGACAGACAGACAUGAAUUACAGCAGGCUAGAUGUCUCUCCCAAAUCAGAGACAGCUUCACUGGAAAUAUCCUACACGAGUUUCAUGGCAAAAUAAGUUGAUAUUUAGUUCUAAUGGUUGUAUGUACCUUAGUGAAUAAUACUUCACUUUGAAGGAACUAUGUCUGAAAUGCUUUAAUCAUCCAUUAUCGCUGGCUUCUGGAGUACAGCUGGUACACACACAACAUGGCCUGGCUUUUUGGAGUUAAAACAGGCGUCACAGACUGCAAACAGGUCAACUGCCGCAGACAGAUUUGAUGUCAGAUGACUACACGGCUCAGUCUGUACAGGGACAACACAAAGAAACACCGGUUCUUAAGGGGCUUGCUGAGGAAGGUCUAUGUCAUUACAUCCAUAGACACGAACAAGACAUCUCAUGCAGGGCAAGUUUUGCCUGCUUUCAUGUGACUGUUUAUCAUUAAGGUGAAG
ensembl:lncRNA